rnacentral:rRNA from 1 species
GAUGAACGCUGGCGGCGUGCCUAAUACAUGCAAGUCGAGCGAACAGACGAGGAGCUUGCUCCUCUGACGUUAGCGGCGGACGGGUGAGUAACACGUGGAUAACCUACCUAUAAGACUGGGAUAACUUCGGGAAACCGGAGCUAAUACCGGAUAACAUGUUGAACCGCAUGGUUCAACAGUGAAAGACGGUCUUGCUGUCACUUAUAGAUGGAUCCGCGCCGCAUUAGCUAGUUGGUAAGGUAACGGCUUACCAAGGCAACGAUGCGUAGCCGACCUGAGAGGGUGAUGGGCCACACGAGAACUGAGACACGGUCCAGACUCCUACGGGAGGCACCAGUCGGGAAUCUUGCGAAAUGGGCGAUAGCCUGACGGAGCAACGCCGCGUGAGUGAAGAAGGUGUUCGGAUCGUAAAACUCUGUUAUUAGUGAAAAACAAAUGUGUAAGUAACUAUGCACGUCUUGACGGUACCUAAUCAGAAAGCCACGGCUAACUACGUG